UGCACAAUGGAGGAAACUCUGAUGCAGCAACGCCGCGUGGAGGAUGACGCAUUUCGGUGUGUAAACUCCUUUUAUAUGGGAAGAUAAUGACGGUACCAUAUGAAUAAGCACCGGCUAACUCCGUGCCAGCAGCCGCGGUAAUACGGAGGGUGCAAGCGUUACUCGGAAUCACUGGGCGUAAAGCGCGCGCAGGCGGCCAUUUAAGUUGGAUGUGAAAGCCUACAGCUCAACUGUAGAACUGCAUCCAAAACUAUUUGGCUAGAGUGUGGGAGAGGAAGAUGGAAUUAGUUGU
rnacentral:rRNA from 1 species